GACGAACGCUGGCGGCGUGCUUAACACAUGCAAGUCGAACGAAGAGCGAUGGAAGCUUGCUUCUAUCAAUCUUAGUGGCGAACGGGUGAGUAACGCGUAAUCAACCUGCCCUUCAGAGGGGGACAACAGUGGGAAACGACUGCUAAUACCGCAUACGAUCUAAUCUCGGCAUCGAGGACAGAUGAAAGGUGGCCUCUACAUGUAAGCUCUCACUGAAGGAGGGGAUUGCGUCUGAUUAGCUAGUUGGGGGGGGAACGGCCCACCCAGGCGAUGAUCAGUAGCCGGUCUGAGGGGAUGGACGGCCACAUUGGGACUGAGACACGGCCCAGACUCCUACGGGAGGCAGCAGGGGGGAAUCUUCCGCAAUGGGCGGAAGUCUGACGGAGCAACGCCGCGUGAGGGAUGACGGCCGUCGGGUUGGAAAGCUCUGUUAGUCGGGACGAAAGGCCUUCUUGCGAAUAGGGAGAAGGAUUGACGGUACCGGAAUAGAAAGCCACGGCUAACUACGUG
rnacentral:rRNA from 1 species